rfam:Bacillus marisflavi strain JCM 11544 scaffold1, whole genome shotgun sequence.
UUCUUAUCAAGAGCAGGCGGAGGGACUGGCCCGAUGAAGCCCGGCAACCGACUCAUUAUGAGCACGGUGCUAAUUCUUGCAGCAGACGCUGGGAGAUAAGAU